rnacentral:rRNA from 1 species
AGAAUCAACGCUGGCGGCGUGCCUAACACAUGCAAGUCGAACGAGAAAGGGGAGCAAUCCCUGAGUAAAGUGGCGACCGGGUGAGUAACACGUGACUAACCUACCCUCGAGUGUGGAAGUAACAUCGGGAAACCGAUGCUAAUACCGCAUAACAUCGGCGCUUUUAAGAGAUGCCGAUCAAAGGAGCAAUCCGCUUGAGGAGGGGUCGCGGCUGAUUAGCUAGUUGGCGGGGUAAUGGCCCACCAAGGCGAAGAUCGGUA